AAUUAUUUGCUUUCAGUUUCUCUCUUCCCUCUCUCUCAAAACCCUAGCUCAAACGAGUGCAAGUUCCGUUCUUCAUUCUCAUAUUCAUCAACCGCCACUCUUCUUCCCACAUUCGACGGCACCACAUCUACCUUCUGAUGAUUAUUUUCAAGUAGAUUAAUCCAUUUCUUAUUUGUUCCUCAUUCAAUUAGACUUCAUUUGUUCGCAACCUUCUGCCAGUCUGGGUUUUAGAUUACUCACCGGUGCCGAAAUUGCAGAAAUCGGAGGAAUCAGAGAGUUUUGAGGAAUUUUGGGGUUUCGCCACUACUCAAUUUGCUUCUUUUGCUUCGACGAGCGGUAUAUUCUAACUCGCACUGGUAUAUUAAGGGAAAACUCCCACGUUCUUUGUCAUGCCAGUGAAAAGAAAAUGGAGGAGCAAGUAGAAGAAUUAUGCUGUAAAAGACCGCUUUUGAUGAAAAGAAAGGAGGUAUAGUGACCAUGCCUUUCAUCAUAGGUAUGGUACCAACAUUGCAAUCACAUGGUGUUGAAAGUUGUUUUAAAACACCAGGCUCUGAUUUGGUCGGUGCAACCUAAUUUCAUUUCAAAUUUCAAAAGCUUCCCUUGUGCUCCCUCACUAUUCUCUUUCACGACUACAAUUAAGGUGAACACGAAGAAGCAACUGAUAACGAUUAGCGGGCGUUUGAAGGUAUCCAAAAGUGGUUGUAAGUGAGUACGAGGAUGUGCUUGGUAAGACGACGCGACGGUGGUGUGCUGAGGACCUAACUGUCGCCUCCAACAAGGAAUGAGUGGCUGGGGUUUGUGUAGAGCCAGGUCAAAGUCGAGGUCAAGGCCAAGGUCAGCCAACGUGAUACAUUCAGAUUUCAAAAGAAAAUGACGACAGGUGACGGUGAUCGGUCUACAGGGUUGAAGCAUGGCCCCAACCAUCUUCCUACCGAUAUACAUGGAUUCCCUGGGAUACUCCUUGAAUGCAAAAUUCUGACAGUUUCGGAUGCCCAGCAGCGUCUUAAGAGUCUUAGAGAGAAGUUGACACCCAAGGAGUAUCUCGAGUUUCUUGAUAUCAUGAAGGACUUCAGGGAGGGCAGGCUUGACAUGUUGGGAGUCAGAGAAAAGGUUAUAAAACUAUGCGAAACUCAUCAAGAACUGUUUCCGCUUUUCAACAUCUAUCUUCCAGAGAGAGAAAAAAUCACAUUCCCACAAGCGCAGAUGAUGUUAAAAAGGCACCCAAGUUUGACAUUGGUAAACUGAUGGAGGCUAAGCACAAAUUGAUAAAAGUUCCGGCAUCUCAAGUGAAAUUAAUGUCUCCCAUUUGAUGAGGAUAAUACAUAGACCACACCGACAUGAAUGUUCCUGAAGGGAUAGCUAAGCUUCCUAAUCUUGAAUCACUUAUUAUUUGGGAUAACUUCUUUAGUGGCACACUGCCACAAGAAUUGGGUACAUUUUAAAACUUUAUAAUGAGGGUUGAUUCCAAGCUAUUUUAGGUUGAUUCCAGCCUUAAUUUGGACUUUGUUUUACAUUUUAGCUAGAAAAUGCCCUGAAGCAGGCCUAAGAGUUCGAAAGCUCGCCAUUCAGGGCGCAAUGCAAAUGCGUUGGGCUGCGUCUGGGCGCCUAGACACGCACCUAGGGGGCUUUUGACAGAUUAGCUGUAGAUGUUGUUUUCGACCUUUCAGGCUCUUUUCUACUGUUUUGUGUGUGUUGAGCUGCUGUAUUUUCAAGAUAAGCUUUACUUUGUCUGCAAUCAUUGAAGACACUAAGAUUUUAAUGGAACUCAGAGAAAAUUUUGACCAAAAAAUACAGUUGUCAUCAAGUCAAUAUUACCAUCCUAUUCACUUGGGAUCGAUUUGGGGGCUAUUAGAUGGUUUUAUUUUCUGUUUAUUAUGCUAGGCAUAUCUACUCAUCUAUGAGGUUCAUUGCAUUACUCUGAUUUUUUGUAGAAUUUGUUUCGUACCUGUUGUCUGUUGUAUACUUGCACCUCCUAGAGGACAUGUGAUGAGCAAAUUAAGCAUAUGAUUUGUUAGACUUGCAUCUCUUCGUGAACAUGAUCGGUGAUAGGAGUUCUUGGAGACAGGAUAAAGGUUAGUUUUUUUAGGAUAUAGGUUAUUCAUAUUUGUUUGUUCGCUGUCUUUUGUAAGUAUUAAGGUUUCUGAUUUUUAGUUUCAUCUGAAUCGUUGGUGGUCAAAAUUUAUUUAAUCGUCAAAGUCAACUAAGUAAAGGGGUUUAGUAUAUGUAAAUUUUUGAACAAUAUGCUUUUUAAACUAAUAUAUAGGAAUGCUCAGCAACGAAAUUGAAAUGGAGCUGCUGAUUUAGUAGAAAUUGAUGUGCAGGCAGAGGCACAUGUAAAUUAUACUUGAUAGUGAAUCUCUGCACGAUAAGAAUUGUGUAUGAAUUUAUUCUCUAAAGCUAUCUAUCUAUGUGAAUCUGAGGUGAACAUAUUGUGUAUGAUUUGCGGAUCGAUAUGUUCAUUAUUUCUAACUCAAAAGGCUUGAAAGAAAUAGUGAUGUGGAUUAAGAAAUAGAGGGGGAUAAUGGAUUGGCAAAGCAACUACGCGCAUCGCUGAAAUGCUUUGAUGUGUCAUUAUUUCUGCUCAUUGUGAAAUAACCAAAACCCCAUAAUAGAGGGAGGGCCCAAUGGGCCCUAAAACACUUUGUAAUGCAUGUGGGGUCCGGUACCGGUCCGGGCGGCUGUACCCUGAGUACCGCCCGGCUGCAAGUACGACUUUUGUUCCGGCUCUGCACUCGAAUUCUCAUAGGAAGGUGAUAGAGAUGAGGCAAAAGGCGGUUGAGUAAGCAUGCAUGCGUUUAAAAGGAAGCAGGUAAGAGGGUUUUUGUGUUUGAUUUAUUAUGUUUGAAAAUUGUGAGUCAUAUGGUGGAUCUUGAUGAUGUUUGUGUACAAAGAUGAAAGGAAAACAAUUAAGGACCCGUUUGAUGGUGAUUAGUUCUUAGGGUUUAAAUUUAGCAUAAUAUGUUUGGAGGUCAAGUAGGUUACAAUUUUGAGUUAGUAGGAGUAGUAGCUCAUGUGAGAUGUAAAGUAUAUUUGACUAUUGACAUCUAUGUUUUUUAGUUCCUGAAGACAUUAUUGUCUUCAUUCUCAGUU